rnacentral:rRNA from 1 species
GACGAACGCUGGCGGCGUGCCUAACACAUGCAAGUCGAACGGAACUGUUUUGAAAGAUUUCUUCGGAAUGAAUUUGAUUUAGUUUAGUGGCGGACGGGUGAGUAACGCGUGAGUAACCUGCCUUCAAGAGGGGGAUAACAUUCUGAAAAGAAUGCUAAUACCGCAUGAUAUAUCGGAACCACAUGGUUUUGAUAUCAAAGAUUUUAUCGCUUGAAGAUGGACUCGCGUCCGAUUAGUUAGUUGGUGAGGUAACGGCUCACCAAGACCGCGAUCGGUAGCCGGACUGAGAGGUUGAACGGCCACAUUGGGACUGAGACACGGCCCAGACUCCUACGGGAGGCAGCAGUGGGGGAUAUUGCGCAAUGGGGGCAACCCUGACGCAGCAACGCCGCGUGAAGGAUGAAGGUUUUCGGAUUGUAAACUUCUUUUAUUAAGGACGAAAAAUGACGGUACU